AAGUCGUAACAAGGUUUCCGUAGGUGAACCUGCGGAAGGAUCAUUAUCCUUUAGCGUAGCGCUCUUAUGAGCACUACAAGCGCAUGCACUCAUGUGUUGCGUUAAAAUGCACAAACGCUCGGGCCUCGUCCUGUUCGUUUUCAAAAUCCAUGUUCGCUCGAACAUGGUCGGGUACCUACGUUGUGUUCGCACAACGUAAGCGAUAGACGCGCGUCUGUCGUGUGGCGUAAAGAUUAUUCAAGCUUAAGAAUAACGCCCGCUUAGCACAAUUUUUAUUACAAAUUUUAAAUCGCUUAUUAUGUUGUAUGUGUAAAGCAAUAUCUUGUUUUCUUAAUAAGAUAAUAACACAAAUACAACCCUAUGCGGUGGAUCAUUUGGCUC
rnacentral:misc_RNA from 1 species